CCUACGGGAGGCAGCAGUGGGGAAUCUUGCGCAAUGGGCGAAAGCCUGACGCAGCCAUGCCGCGUGAAUGAUGAAGGUCUUAGGAUUGUAAAAUUCUUUCACCGGGGACGAUAAUGACGGUACCCGGAGAAGAAGCCCCGGCUAACUUCGUGCCAGCAGCCGCGGUAAUACGAAGGGGGCUAGCGUUGCUCGGAAUUACUGGGCGUAAAGGGAGCGUAGGCGGACAUUUAAGUCAGGGGUGAAAUCCCGGGGCUCAACCUCGGAAUUGCCUUUGAUACUGGGUGUCUUGAGUAUGAGAGAGGUGUGUGGAACUCCGAGUGUAGAGGUGAAAUUCGUAGAUAUUCGGAAGAACACCAGUGGCGAAGGCGACACACUGGCUCAUUACUGACGCUGAGGCUCGAAAGCGUGGGGAGCAAACAGGAUUAGAUACCCCUGGUAGUCCACGCCGUAAACGAUGAUUGCUAGUUGUCGGGAUGCAUGCAUUUCGGUGACGCAGCUAACGCAUUAAGCAAUCCGCCUGGGGAGUACGGUCGCAAGAUUAAAACUCAAAGGAAUUGACGG
rnacentral:rRNA from 1 species